AAAGCUUCAAUUUUUUUCAGUUUUUUCAGUCAACGCUUUUGCUUCAAGAUUUCGUUUUACCUUCCUUGAAAAUUAAAGCUCACCUAAUUGAUACAAUUAAAACUCUUUUUUUAGCUGAAAAUUGAUACAAUUUUUACUACUUUUUUCUUAACUUUGUAUCCAGAUUUGCUGCUUUUGUUUACAGUUUUUUAUUUUUUUAAUAUUUUUCUGUGGAGCUAAGCAUGACUUUGGUUACAGCUUUAUAUUAUUUUAACAUAUAAUUAGACUAAUUUAUUUAUUUGUGGAUUUAUUAUUUUUUAAAUAUGGUUUGAGACUUCUGAUGUUUCAAUAUUUAUUGCACACGUGUAGUGCAGUGGCUUUAAUAAAUGUGGUAUUGUAAAGUUUAAUGCUUUUUGCAUGUGAAUGAGCUGGUGUGUACACUUUCAUUGAUGUUUAGAUUCAUGUAUGUGGUGAUCUCUGAUCUGGGUACACGUUAGAUUUUAAUUUUAUGGCAUGGUUCAUUUGACCAAAUUUUGUUGUUACUUGAACUGAUGAACGUGAAUUUCGAAGUUAAUACGUGUGUUUGAUUGAUUGGAUUUUGUAAGAUUCCUUUGUAGAAAUAUUUUAAUCCCACGAACAGUAUGAUUCAGCAAAUAGCUUUGAGAAUGGUAUUGAUUCUAGGCCAAAAUUACUUUAGGGUUUGGUACCCCACUCGUUUGUCAUUUACCAAAGUCAGGAUUGGAUUUUAUCUAACGGCUACAAAAGAUACACAUAGAGAAUUAUGAGCAACCUGAGAAACAGGUUAGGAGCCGGUCACCGGGUGAAAAACAACUGAUUGGAAAAGAGCACAUGUAAUCGAUCAGAAGUUUUUAAGUUUUUUGACAGCUUACGCAUUUAAACAAAUAACAAACCGAGAUAUGCAGCUAAUGGUUGCAAACAACUAUUUGCAAGCGUGCUAGUAUUGGUUGGACUAAGAUUGAUACAAAAUUUCUCAUAAUUAUGUCUUAAAUAUUUGCAAAUGAUCAGGUUAUGUAUUGCCAAACAUAAUAUAUUCCCAUUUUCUACUUCUUCCUGCCAUUCUCUAUUUUACAACCAAGCCUAACAUCCUAUGCCCAUUUAUGCUUCUUCAUGCCUACCCAGCUCCCACCAACUCUGCAACCUUCUAGAGCUGGUCGAGUAAAGCACGUUGUUGCCGAGAAAUCUCUUCACUCCCGGACCUAAAACCUUCUGUUUUGCUGCUUCCAUCAAACUUUUUUGUUGAAGAAUCUGAGGAAGAAAAUGCACAUUUUGAAGAAAAACCCAUUUGUUGUUGAUGGUUUCUGAGUAAGAACUCAUGGCGUGGAUCAGAGAAUGGUAGUUUGGGGAUGUAAGGAGAGGAAAGGUCUAACCUUCCUGAUGAGUUGUGGCGCUUUGGUUGUGGCUGAAGCAAGUGGCUGUGGUGGUGAUGGUGUUCCUGGUGCAGAGGAUAAGCACUCAAAGGCAAAAGAAAGUUUGGAUUUUGACGAUGCUGAGACUGUAACUGUUGGUGAUUCAUAAAUAUCUGAGGAUAAAAAAAACUACAUCUUCAGCCGGUUAUCCAUUUUCUAAAUAUUAAAUCUCAGCCAUUAAAUAUCUUUCUUCACAAUCUAAAGGGUCAUUGGCUAUAAGACAAAUGACUGGGGUACCAAACCCAUGGUGCAAGGUAGCUGGACCCAUUGAUUCUAUUCUUGUUUGUUUAUUCUUAUAAGAACUUUGAUGCAUCCUUCAGAUUCCUUUUGAACCAUGUUGUUAAGAUAAUAGAAUUAGUUAAGAUGGUUUAGUUAGUUAAGCUCAGUUGAUUUGUUUAAUCAAGUUUGUUAUUAAUGCUGACUUGGCAGCUGAGCUGGAGGAAGGUUGUUAUGCUGUUAGCUAAAGCUUAAACAGCAUGUAGAAGAUUCGAAAUGCUUGUAUAUAUACAUCUUUGUAAAACCAUUCAGAUUAAUGAAAUGAUUCACAUUCAUUCUCUCUUGUCAUUUUCUCUCUGUAACUUUCUUAGAAACCAAACAAAUACUUUACAAUUUAACAUGGUAUCAGAGCCAAACUAAAAGCAAAAAUGGCGUUCUCAAAUCCAAACACAGCAAUUUCUGUUUCUUCAUUCACUUUCACUUCUCCUAUUAAGCUUGAUCGAUCGAACUACACAAUCUGGAAAUCUCAAAUUCUCUCUUCAGUACGUGCAAAUGGUCUUGAAGAUCAUUUCGAUAGCUCCAAGUCAUGUCCAGAUCAACUUCUUCAAAGUGAAUCUGAGAACUCUGAAAUUGAAACUCGAACAAAUCCAGAGUUCACUGCUUGGAAAAGGAAGGAUCAAAUGCUGCUGAGUUGGAUGCUGUCUUCUAUAAAUCUCGAGAUCCUCAGCCUUGUGGUAAACUCUGAAACUUCACUUGAACUUUGGACUAGUCUUGAGCAACAAUUCGGAUCUGAAACCUUUGCUAAAAAGGUUCAUCUUAAGAUGAUGCUUAACAAUCUUAGAAAAAGUUCAAUGUCUAUGACUGAAUUUUUUGGAAAACUGAAAACAAUAACUGAUGAUUUAGCUAUAGCUGGAAGCCCUGUUAGCUCUCUAGAUUUUAUUACACAUCUUAUCUCUGGGCUAGGUCAACCAUACUACCCUGUGGUUGUGUAUAUCGAGGCAAAUCUAGCAAAAAUGACUGUUAAUGAAGCUUACUCAAUGCUUUUAACUCAUGAAGCUAGCAAGGAAGCUAAAUUGACUUAUGCUGCAAAUGUUGCUCAAACUGGAACUAAUACUAAGUUUGGAGGACAGAAUAAUGCUAACUGGAUUAGGAAUGUCAAUAAUAAUAAUGGUGGCAGAGGAGCCUUUGGUAGAGGUUUUUCUCAAGGCCGAGGUAGAGGAAAUUGGAAUGGAGGCUGGAAUAAUAAUGCUCAGUCUGGAAAUUAUCAAGGCAGAGGAGGAUAUGGUGUUAACAAUGCCAAUAAUUUUGGUGCUAAUAAUGGAAAUUUUGGUGGAAAUUUUGGUGGCUUCACUAAUGGAAAAGGUGCUUCAGAUCCAAAUGGAGCUGCUGUAAUCUGUCAAAUAUGCUUUAAGCCAAAGCAUACUGCAGCUGAAUGCAGGAACAGGUUCAAUAAAGAAUUUGUGCCUUAUUACAAUCCAUAUUCAGGCUAUAAUUCAUAUCAGAAUCCUGGACCAAGAGCUUUCUAUCCAAAUUCAGCACCAAGAGCUGCUUUCCUGGCAACCUCAGAAGGUGACAUGGCUGAUCAAGGCUGGUAUGUUGACAGUGGGGCAACACAUCAUCUCACCAACAACCUGCAGAACUUGAACCUUGGAAGAGAAUAUUCAGGUAAUCAGCUACUACAUGUUGGUAAUGGCCAAGGUCUGAAAAUUACACACAUUGGAUAUACUUGUCUCCCCACUUCCUGUGAUUCUUUUCUGCAUUUACAAGAUAUCUUGUGUGUACCUCAUCUUACUAAAAAUCUCAUAAGCAUUUCUAAAUUGCUUGAAAAUACCAAUUUAACCAUUGAGUUUGUUGCCAAUAUGUGUUUUAUUAAGGACAAGAGGAAGGGAGUGCAUCUGGCUCAAGGGAUUGCUAGAGGAGGACUGUAUAAGUUGCUGUCUAAGGAUGACUUUCUCUCCAGUUCAUGUGUCACCAGUCAUAAUCCUAGUUCUAUGCUUUCUGUUUUUAACCAGUCAGCUUGUAACUUUUCUGGUUUGUCUUUGAAUAAAGUUUGUACUCAAACAAGUAAUUCUCAGAGUCAUUUGAGCACUGUUAACCCAGCUAUGUUUGCUAAUGUGUUACACCAAAGAUUUGGUCAUCCUAAUAAACAUGCAUUGAAAAACAUAUUAUCCUCUCUUGCACUUUCUGCAUCUAUUCCUGAUUUUUGUGAUGCUUGUCAAUAUGGUAAAAUGCAUCAACUUUCCUUCUACUCUACAGGCAUAAAAACAAAAACUCCUUUAGAACUUGUAUAUACCGAUCUUUGGGGUCCAGCAUCUAUACCAUCUCUACAUGGAUAUAGAUAUUACAUUAGUUUUGUGGAUGAUUACAGCAGAUACUGCUGGAUUUUUCCAUUAACCCUUAAGUCAGAAGCUUUAGAUACAUUCAAGUAUUUCAAAACCUUAGUUGAAAAACAACUUGGUUUCUCUCUAAAGUCUUUACAAUCUGAUUGGGGAGGGGAGUACAGAAGCUUUGAAAAAUUUCUUGAGGCAGAAGGGAUACAUUUUAGGCAUAGUUGUCCUCACACACAUCAUCAAAAUGGUGUAGUUGAGAGAAAGCAUAGGCAUGUUGUAGAAACUGGGUUAACACUUCUUGCACAAGCUAAAAUGCCUUUAUCUUUUUGGUGGGAGUCAUUUCAUACAGCUUCCUUUCUUAUUAACAGAAUGCCAACCCCAGUGUUGAAUAAUGUUUCUCCUUUUGCCAAACUUCAUGGUAGACCACCAGAUUACAAGUUCCUUAGAACUUUUGGUUGCUCUUGCUUUCCUCUUCUCAGACCCUACAAUAACCAUAAACUCAAUUUUCAUACACAAAAAUGCCUAAUGAUUGGCUAUAGUCCUAUACACAAGGGAUAUAAAUGCCUGGAUUCCACUGGUAAAACAUACAUUGCUAGACAUGUUCAGUUUAAUGAAUCAGAAUUUCCUUAUUUUGAACUCUUUCCUACAAAGUCUGAUUCAUAACUCUCAUCCAUCCAACCAAGUCAAGUCUCUUUUUCAAAUAUUCCAAUUACAGAAGUCAUUCAAGACAGCAACAAUGCACAAUCCUAUGCUAUUCCCUCAAAUCCAGAUGCAGGACCUGAUUCAAGUCACUCCCAUACAUUUUCAGCACAUUCAUCUCCAAGCCAUUCAUCUCAAAACUUAUCACCACACAUCCAAGUUCAUCAGCCAGUACAGACAUCUUCAGUUCAGAACAUUCAUUCCAUGACUACCAGAUCAAAAGCUGGUGUGUUUAAGCCCAAGACAUACUUAACAGUAGCUCAAGAGCUUGAACCUUCAUCUGUUAAAGCAGCUCUAGCAGACUCCAAAUGGCAACAAGCUAUGCAAGAAGAAUUUGAUGCACUACAAAAGAAUCAAACCUGGUUUCUUAUUCCUCCAGAAACAGUUGGGAAGAUUGUUGGAAACAAAUGGGUAUUCAGAAUUAAAUAUAACCCUGAUGGCAGCAUAUCAAAGUACAAAGUCAGAUUGGUUGCCAAGGGGUUUCAUCAGACACAAGGGGUGGAUUUUUUUGAAACUUUCAGUCCAGUUGUAAAGCCCUGCACCAUUAGAAUAAUUCUGAGUCUUGCUGUCAUGAAUCACUGGACAAUUAGGCAGCUAGAUGUUAACAAUGCCUUCCUUAAUGGCAUUCUUACAUAGGAUGUUUUUAUGCAUCAACCUGAGGGUUUUGUUCAUCCUCAAUUUCCAGCUCAUAUCUGCAAACUCACUAAGGCACUUUAUGGACUCAAACAGGCUCCAAGAGCCUGGUAUGAUAGGUUGAAAGCUUCUUUAAUUCAGUGGGGUUUUGUGACAUCCAAAUCAGAUACUUCCUUGUUUGUUCAUCAUGUGGCAGGAGAAAUUAUUGUGGCACUAAUCUAUGUAGAUGAUAUUUUGAUCACAGGCUCAAAUUCUCUUUUGGUAGAAAAGGUGAUACAUCAGUUGGGUGCCGAGUUUGCCUUGAAAGAUCUUGGGGAGUUUAAUUACUUUCUCGGUCUUGAGGUAACUCCAAAUGUGGAUGGUUUGCACUUAUCACAAACUAAGUACAUUGGUGAUUUGCUUAAGAAAGCUCAAAUGGUGAACUGCAAGGGCUGUUCAACACCAAUGAGCUCAACAGAGAAAUUAGUCAAAGACAAGGGUGAAGUGUUUGAGAAUCCUUCUCUAUACAGAAGUUUGGUUGGCUCAUUGCAAUAUGUUACACUAACAAGGCCUGAAAUUGCUUUUACAGUGAAUAAACUCAGCCAAUAUCUUUCUAAUCCAUCAGUACUUCAUUGGCAAGCUUGCAAAAGGGUGCUGAGGUAUCUGCAGUAUACAGCAGAUCAUGGUUUACAAUUUUACUCAUCUGGAUCACUUAGUCUUACAGCUUUUUCAGAUGCUGAUUGGGGAUCUGAUCUGGAUGAUAGGAAGUCAGUGGGGGGAUAUUGUGUUUACUUAGGCAACAACUUGGUUUCAUGGUCCUCUAAGAAACAGCAUAUAGUAUCUAGAAGUACAGCUGAAUCAGAAUACAGAGCUUUGGCUUUGACAACAUCUGAGGUAUUGUGGAUCACAUAUCUUUUCAAAGAACUAAAAGUGUCUUUGCUGCAGUCUCCAGUUCUCUACUGUGACAACAAAAGUGCAGAAGCCCUUGCUAGCAAUCCUAAGUAUCAUUCUAAAACUAAACACAUUGAACUUGAUCUACACUUCAUUAGAGAGCAUGUAUCUAGAAAGGAGCUGCAGAUUAAUCAUGUUCCAAGUUGUGAUCAGGUAGCAGAUAUUCUAACUAAACCAUUAGCAUUUGAUCAAUUUCAUUAUCUACGGUCCAAGCUCAAUGUUCUUCCCAGACCUUGAGCUUGAGAGGGGCUGUUAAGAUAAUAGAAUUAGUUAAGAUGGUUUAGUUAGUUAAGCUCAGUUGAUUUGUUUAAUCAAGUUUGUUAUUAAUGCUGACUUGGCAGCUGAGCUGGAGGAAGGUUGUUAUGCUGUUAGCUAAAGCUUAAACAGCAUGUAGAAGAUUCGAAAUGCUUGUAUAUAUACAUCUUUGUAAAACCAUUCAGAUUAAUGAAAUGAUUCACAUUCAUUCUCUCUUGUCAUUUUCUCUCUGUAACUUUCUUAGAAACCAAACAAAUACUUUACAAUUUAACACAUGUAGUUAUAUAUUUGGAUUAGUUUAUAGCAUAUCAACUGUUGAUUGUUGCAUUUAGAUGUUUUUUGUCACUUCCGCUCUUGAUUGCUUAUUAUAUGUCAGUUAAAGAGCAAACAUUAUACAAGUUCUUGAUUGAUUAGUGCUCUUUCGUAUAACGGGUUCGUGACUGAUGUUCACUUUCUUAGUUUUUUGCAUCAAAAGUAAAGAAUGGUUUCAAAAUUCCUGGAGUGCCUCAUGAAGCUGUCUAUGCAUUUUUUCGUUUUGUCUAUUCCUCCUGGUAUGUUGAAAGAAUUCUUGCCAUAUUCUCAUUGUGCUUGAGUAUCUAGUUACUUAAAAUGAUGAAUAUGGUUUUCAGAGGAUUUUCAUGUUACUGAUUUAUUGGCUCCUAGAUUCCUUGAAAAUGAAUUAUUAUGGGUGUGUUGAUGAUUCAAAAAGGGGUCCCAGAUAUAUCAAAAUUGCUUGGUUUAUUUUUCUCAUGUACUGUAGUUCGUUUGUUCUAGUUUUCAAGAAUCGUGAGGGGUUGGUUAUUACGUCAUCCAUAUAUGCUUGGUAUAUGGUGUACACUUUCAUUUAUAUAUAAAAUAAAGUUUGCGCAUUCCUUAGAGGUUUAAUGACAUCCAUCUCUGUAUAUAUAAAAGACUACGUCCAAUAAGAGUUUUGAUUUUAAAUAUAUUUUAGUUUGAAGAGCGUACGGGGCAGUGAUGAACACAUUUGACGAGUUGGAAUGGGGGAUAUGUUGAAGAGUUUUGUAACUACAAUGUUGUAGCUCAAAACCAACUGACUUUUUUUCUUUUCUGUUGAUUAAAUUCAUGACAAUAAAGGAAAAGUUUUAGUGUACGAGCCUUAGUAUAAUUUUUCAAAUAGAGUUUAUUUUACUAUAGCUUUAUUACUUGAGCUUUUACAAGUAAAAUUUUUAAAUAAAAAAAUAAUUAAUUAUUUGAUUGUCAACAAGAGUUUUUAUUAAAAAUUAUUACUUUAAUCGGUAAUUUCUUUUAAAAUUAUAUUGUGAAAGAACUGAAAUGAGAUUGUCAAAUAAGUAAAUGAUAUUUUUAAAAUUUUAACAUUUUAAAAAGCUUUUCAACCUUUAUUCUCAAAAAUCCAGAAUUUCAGUUUUUGUUUGUAAAGAUAAAAUGAUUUAUUUAAUCCUCAAAAACUUUACUAAAAAAUUAACUAACAACAAUAAUAAAUUUUAAAAGAGAUUGUGAGAUUAAAUAAAUACUUAUAGUCAUUAGAUAAGCGAUGCUAAAUAAAGACUAAAAAAUUAAAAAGAAAUAAUGGAAACGGCUUAUGGGAGACAAAAUGAGUUUUACCUUCAUUAAAUACAAGAAAUAAAAAAAUUGAGAAGCUCCACGCAGGGAGCAAGAAAAGUAGAGAACCAAAAGUAAACAUAAAUAAUAGUUUCAAAAGCCAUUAGCACCUCUAGAAAGAAAAAGUGAAGCUUAUGCAAGAGGUGAAGACCACAAGUGAAAGAAAAGGUUAAGCAUCUACAUGAGGUAAAGAUCACCAAAUAAAGUCUGUACAAUGAAGCUCAAGAUUAACAAUGACAAUCUUGGGCAGUAAUGCAACAUCAAGAGAAUUUAUUCGGUUGGAGUCAGAGAAGGAAUGUGAUAAUAUUUGCUCCACAAUUUCUUUCCACCGAUUAUCCAUCGAAGCAAAUCAAGCAAGAAUGUGUUGUUGUAUUUGGAAUAUGCAGCUCACUUUUCAGAUCCAGCCUUUGGAAUUGCCAAGUUUAUGAAGCCAGACUCGUGCAAUUGGACUGUAUGCGCAAGCACAUAUGGAUUUGUCAUUGUUGCUCCACGUAUCUAAUAUUCGUUUGUUGCCGUUUUAAGGAAUAUUUUUAUGUUACGUGUGCGGUAACAGAACAAUGUAACUAGAUAUUGUUGAAAAAUAUUAUGUAGUACAUUCAGUAGACUUGUAAAAGCUUACUAAUUUAUGCACAUUUAUCUUAGAAACAGAGUAAACUUUUUUUACUUUGUCCUUGAGCUUGCAGAGCUUGCUUACACAAUGAAGAUCAUAGAGAAAUGCGACGUGUAGAGUCUUGGAGUGUUAGUGCUGGAAGUGAUUAAAGGGACGCAUCCAUGAUAUUUUCUUUCUUCGUUUUCAUCUUCAUCUUUCACAUGAACACAGCAGUACUUGAUGAAAUGUUGGACCCUCGUCUUCCAACUCCGUUGCGCAAUGUUCAAGAUAGACUGCUAUCAAUCAUGGAGGUUGCAUUUUCGUGCUUAGAUGGGAAUCCAGAAUCGCGACCAACCAUGGAGACAGUCAGUCAAUUACGAAUAAUCUAAUAAUUACGAAUAAGCUAAUAAUUACGAAUAAUCCCAAGGGGUUGGAGACUAAGAUUUAAGGUGAACUGCCACGGAGGAGUCAGAAUCAAUCACUAAAAUAAUUGCCAUAACCUCAGCAUAGUAAUAAUUAAAAAAUAAUUUCUUGCUCAUGUACAAAGAGGUGAACCCCUCGAAUGUAAACUUGAAAGUGUUCAUAACUGGAUUAAUUAAUGCACAAUUCAUAGCUAUUGUUAAUGUUAAAAGAAAGGAAUAGAUUGGGAAAAAAAUAAAAAAUUAAGGAUAAUUUACAAUUAAUGUAGUCCUUAUGAUUUAAGGAAAAAUCAAGUAAGCCAGAAAUAAUUAGUACUAUUUUUCAAAUAAGUCCUCUGACCCUGUUUGACCAUUCACCGAAAAAAUCGAGUUCUUAGCAACCCACGUGUCCAUAAGAUCACAGGUGUAACACAGGCAUUGACUCCUUCACUUCUCAAUUGCUCUUUUGCUUCCGCUGUAAUUGUUUUCCGCAACGUCGUUAAAUUAUAUAUGAGUGUUUGAUAACCUUUUCAAUUUCUAUCAAUGGUGUCACAAACCUUGAAUAGAGUAUCUUUUACUGUUUGGUGAUUCUAUUUUAUACGUGUUUGUAUUAGAAUUUUUACUUAUCAUUGAAAAACCGGGGGAUGAAAUCUAACACGUACUAAUUAAAUUUAUUUCAUGAUAAUAAACUGAAUUAAUUUUUUUAAUAAUUUGAUAACUUUACCUUAAAAGAAAAACUUUCAUAUGAAUUAUAACGCUUACUAUGGCAUGAACAGGGACCCUUUUUUCCCAAUCCAAAGCCUAUACUAUGUUUGGCAAGGUUUUAUAUACUGGGAGAGGGAUAAAUAGAGAAAAACAUAUCCAUUGGAACCGUACCUCCAACAGGAUAAGUUGGGAAAAGCAAUCAAUAAUUUAACUAAUUAAUUAAAAUUAUAAAAAAAUGUUGAGGGUGGGACAAAAUCAAAUUUAUUUUUUAUCCUUUACCUCCCCAUGAUACUAUUCAGUCAGGGCCUAGAGACAAUUAAAUUAAUUAUUACUAAGAUAACAAUAUUAUAGGUAAAUCAACUUAUUCUAAUUGAAUUAUUUAAUGAUACAUAUAUUACAUAAAUUAAAAAAUUAUAGAAAUUUUUAUUUAUAUUUAAUUAACUUCCAUUUACAUUGAAUCAAAUAAUCAGUACCACAUUUUUUUUGUUAAUAAUAUAAAAUAUGUUAUUGGCAAUAAUAAAAAAAUGUAUUACAAAUAAUUUAUAAUACAUUUAAAUAUCUUGUAAUUUAGAUGUAUAUUUUUAUUAUUUAUUUCAUGUGGGAAUCCUCCUUGUUUUUCAGCUUCAAGUUCGUUUGAUUUAUUUAGUCUCAUGUAGCAGUGGUUGACAAUUGUGUAGGUUAUUACGACUUCCAUACUAGGUGAUCUCUUCCUCUUAAAAUGUAGUUCUUGUUGUAAUAACUAAUGAUUAGUAUUUUCCAGAUAAGUUCUCUGACUGUUUUUAAUCAUUAACUAACAAUUCAUAUUUUUAACGUUUAUUAAGAAUUUUAGGUUUGUCUAUAAAUAAAUCAAAGGAAUUAAUAAGAAAUUUAGUGAAGGAUGAACAAUUUUGGUAGAGUUAGGAUGUAAACGAAAAUAUAAACAAUUAAUUGUGGCAUUAAGUAUGAGAAAAACUCAAUCUAGACCACUCAUAUUUUGAUAUAUCAUUUGUCAUUAGAUUUUUAAAAGUCUAAUAAACUAAGGGUUACAAAUCCUUUUUUUUCUAACGUGCUCGAGUUCUACAGUACAUUGGAGAAGUCCUAGAAAAUUGAUCAAGGCAACCUGGCUACAAUUGAUAGAAAGGAAACGUUUAAAGUGGCUUGAUUUACAAGAACCCGGUUCGCGAGUCCAUGGUUUCUCCAGGAAGCCUCAGUCGGCUUGCGGUACCACAAUUAAUAGAAGCAUAAAAAAUAGCUUGAUGUAACAAAGAUUUGUGGGUUCUUUUAAAUUCAGCAUUUGAGUUCGUUAUGAUGAAGUUUCUGAGUUUCUUAAUCACCUAAAUAACAUCCUUUAUUAGCCGAGCCAAGUAUAAAAGGUGCUGAUGGGCAGGUGUGUCAAAGCAGAGUGAUUUGUGAUUAUCACACCCGUGAUAUUUACUAGCUCUGAGUGAAAAGAUCAUCCUUAUAAUCUUGGUAAUACUCUCUAUAUAUAACUGUACUCUCUUCUGAAAUCGAUUAAUCAAAUUUGUCUUUCACCUUGCAGAGCUUGCUUAAACAUACUGGAUAUUUGCCUUCCUUUUUCCUUCAGGCUAAUUACUAAAAGUUUUAUAGUCUUGAGCUGAUUUUAUUGUCAAUGUAUAAAUUUAUUCUUUGCUUUUUACGCUUAAUUCAGCAUGACUUUCUCUCAAAUAAGCAAAUUAAUUUGCAAAUUACGCUCAAAGUGUUGUAUCCAUUUUUUUUAAUGUUAAUUAUAAGCAUUCCCUCUAAAUGAAUAUGAUCAAAUUGUUACAUGGUCCAAAUUAGAAUUACGGUCACAAUGUUAGUAUACCGGAAAUCUGGCUAGGAUCCAGAAAUAAAACUUUGUUUUGUUUGUUAAGCUGGUUGAUAUGAAUAUGAAAAGAUAUUGUGAUUCAACUUUUAAAGUCUCUUUAAUUUGUCUCGAACAUUUUGAUAACUUAAACAAAGUAUGUACAUUUGAUGACAAAAAAAGAAGGGUAUUGGAAAAGCCAACCCCAAAAUAUUUAGUCUUUCCGCUCUUUCUCUGGCAUAAUUUUCGGGGAGACAAAAUGCCCAGCAAACAAGUUAAUUUGAUCCGUUAGGAUCGAAAGAAACGUUAAUUAGUCUAUUCGUCCAAUUAUCUUGGUCACAAAUGUUUAUUCUAUGUUCUGGGACGACUUUCCAUGGACUUUAAUUGUAGUUCGAAGGAGAAUGGCUAUCAAUACAAAGAUUUUUUUAACAGAACCGCAUGCAACAAGUGAACCUUUUGUUUGGAUAAUUUUAAUAUCCUAGAUGUCUUUGAAAACUUUUGCCUUAAGCAAUACGGGAAAACUCUUCCCUACUUGAUCAGGAUUUGACUCAUACGCCUCUCAAAUGCUUGUUUAGAGAAAGCUUGUGGGCACGAUCCCCAUACCCCCAGAAACACUCCACACGCUCAAAAUACAAAAGGUAUAUGAGGAGGGAACGAUAGAAGAGCAAGGCAAAAAAAAAACUAAUUCAAAACAAAGUCAAUACCUUUACAAGAAUUCCACAUCUUUGCUAACUUAAGCAUCGGAGUGGAAUUCGGAAAUCUCAUUUUCCAAUUGUCCCAUUUCACAUUUUGGUUUAUUAUGUGUGCAAAUGACUUCCAUCUACCGCACUUGGUUCAGUUCACAUAGAAAAGAAAUACGUAUUAACAAUCACAUAUAUUUUUUUAUUAUAUUUCCGAUAUGACUUUUCAUGUCCUUGCAUUAUAUAAAGAAAAAAAAAAGGAGAAAGAGAGAGAGAAUUGAAGAAUCUUCCCCGAAAAAAACAUUAACGUCAAUUCAAUCCCAGAAAUUAUGCAAUUCACGGUGAGCUAAUCCGCCUUAACAAAGCUUGAAAACGUACGUGCCGAGAAUUUUUAUUAUAAUUUUUUAUUGCUAUUUAAAUUAGGUAGUUGCCCUUGCGCAUGCGAACUUGAAAAUGACAUAUGCAAUUUUAUGAGCUGGCAUUGAUUACAUUGUAAACCAUGCAUGCGAUCUUCACUGUCAGCCAUCAGUGAUAAUGGAGGUUCUUAUGUUGAGUUUUAUUACAGUCUCUGAUUCAUACAUAUAAAGCAUUUAGUGACAGAAUAAAUUCAAAGAAUUAGACUGUAAUUUUUUAUAAAAAUUAAUUCGGUUCUCUUUUUGGUGGUGCAAGGAUCAUUGACAAUAACUUAUCUUGGGACCAUACCUUUUUAUCCUGAGCCCACACUCUUACAAGGCAAAAUCAAUAGUUUUUUAUAUCAUGAGUGACAUAGAAUUUGUUUCCCAACUUUUUACAUAUAUUAUUAAUUUAAAGAGAACUUUACAUGGAGUGAUUUAAUUUAUAUAAAACUGGGCCAAGAUACUGUUUUUUUUUUUUUUUUUUUUGCUAAAAUUUUUUUAAGUAAUGACGUCUGAACUAACGAAAAUCUCACUUACAAAUUCGAGUUCCAACAUAAUAUGCCAGUGAAAAAAAAUAAAACGUCAUCUUACUGUUUAUUUGAUGAAAACCAAAUGUUUAAAGUGACUUGAUUUACAAGAACCCGAUUAGCGAGCCCAUGUUUUGCGUAGGUAGCCUCAGUAGCCCUGCGUUGUAAUAAUUUGUUUUGACGUAACAAAGAUUUGUGCUUACUAAAUUUGUUUUGAUGUAACAAGGAUUUGUACAAGUAAAACAGCAUCCUUUAUUAGCCGAGUCAAGUAUAAAAUUAAGGUGCUGAUGGGCAGGUGCCAAAGCAGGGUGAUUUGAAAUUAUCUGAGUGCAAAGAUAAUGUUUGUAAUCUUCUUAUUACUCGGUAUAAAUAAUACUCUCUUGUGAAAUCCGUUGAUCAUAUUUGUGUUUCACCUUGCAGAACUUGCUUACACAAUGAAGAUUACUGCAUAUUUGUCAUUUCUUUUUUCCAGGGAAAUUAUUAUGACAGUAUUGAGAUUUGAAAUGAUUGUUUGCAAAUUUUAUAGUUUAAAAUUAAGUAUGGAUUUAUUUCCAAAGUAUGUUUAUUCUUUGCUCUAUGCUUAAUUCAUCAUGACUUGAUGACAGAUAAGUAAAUUAAUUUGAAAAUUAAGCUCGAAGUGUUAUAUGCAUUCUUGCAAUAUUAAUUACAAGCAUUCAAUAUGAUGAAACUGUUACAAGGUGCAAAUCAAAAUUAUGGUAACAAUGUUAGUAAAUUGGAAAGCUAGCUAGUCUCUACAAAUUCAAUACAGUCUUGUCUAUUAAAUUGGUCGAUACGAAAGUGAAUAGAAAUUAUAAUUCAACAUUUAAAGUCUCCUCUGUCUCACUCAUCAUUUUAAUAUCUUAACAAUGUACAUUUGAUGACAAAAAAGAAGGGUAAGGAUAAGCCAACCCCAAAAUAUUUAGAAUUUCCAUCCUCUCUCUGGCGUAAUUUUCGGGGAAGCAAGUGCCCAGUGAACAAAAGUUUGAUCAAUCGAUGAUUGGAUCCAAAGAUACGUUAAUUAGUCAAGUCUUUCCAUUAAUUUUGAUCACAAAUGUUUAUCCUAUUUUGUAAGACGACUUGCCAUGGACUUUAAUUGUAGUUGGAAGGGGAGUGGCUAUCAAUACAAAGAUUAUUUUGAUAAAAUUGCAAACGUUUUGUUUGGGUAAUUUUAAAAUCGUAAAAUGCCUUUUAAGACUUUUGCCUUAAGCAACGGGGAAAACUCUUCCCUACUUGAUCAAGCAUCGACUCAUACACCUCUCAAUUGCUAGUCUGGAUUCUCUAUAAUUUUGGCUCGUGUGGAAAAAGCUACACCUCUCAAAAACUUGUUGUUAGAAUUUUAAUGUACUCACAAGCGCACGAAUCUAGAAAUAGAGUAGUAGUAACGAGGUCGAUCCCACAGGGAUUGUUAUAAAUUGAAAAGUCUAAUUUAAAUCUAAAAUUAAUAUUAAUUCUAACCUAGUUGACCAAAUUGAGUUUCUAAGAAAAUUAAACCAAUUAAACUAAGGAAGCAAUUAAAAUAAAGGAGAAUUCAAUAAGAUAAGAAUUAUUAAGGUUUCAGAAUCCACCACUAUUCAACUAGUAAUUAUUUAAUUAUUAAUUAAUCCCCAAUUUUAGAGUGACAACUCGAAAUCAAUCUAUGUCAUCUCAUGGAUAUAACAAUUAAGCCCAAGUAAUUAAAUCUAAUGCAUGUUCUUUUUCUACUUAAUAAUAUGACAUCUAAGAAUCUCAUGUAAACGUAUUGAAUAACAAAGAGUCAAAGUUUUCAUAAGCACUUUAUGUAAACAAUUUAAUGAAAGACAUAAAAUCAAAGAUAAUCAUGUAUAAACUUUAUAGAUCCAAGCAUAGAUUUAAUCGAAUAUUAAUCCUAACAAUCAAUAAUGCAUGACAGAAUUGAUGAAAAGAUUUUAUUAACAUCCAAUUAAUCAUGUGAAAUAAAAAUCAUAAUCAUCAAAGAACAUAUAUAGGGAAUUAAUUAAAUAAAAAGGUAAUUAUUUCAUUGAAUAGAGUUUCAUCAUUAACCUCAGUAUAAGAAAAUUAGCUAAACAUACUUGAAUUGGGAGAAACAAAACAAAUAAAAACAGCCAUGGAGAAGCCAAAUUGCUACAAAUUUUCUUCUCUGUCUCGCGUUUUUCCUCCUCUGGCGGCCACUCUCUCCAAAAGCCAAAACUCCCUUUUAUAAUCUUUAAAAUGGGCCCCACCUCUUAAAUCCUAAAGCCAAAAGGCUUGGCCGUUUACUUGAUUUCCUCUCACACACGUCCUGGGCACUUAGAAUUGCUAAAGGACUCCUUUUUCCAAUUAUAAAAGCCAAGUGUGGGUCCCUUCUUAAAGCUAAAUCAAUUUCUCUCCUUUGCCCGCAUGUACAUAAUAAACUAACUUGUUGAAUUCGGUUCCUUGGCUUGAUUUUCACAUGCAUGUAUGUCUAAUUCCUUCCAAAAAUCAAUUAAUCUUUAAUGCUUAUAAAUUGAACUCCUUUAUACUCUUUUUAUCCAUAAUCUCCAAUUAAUUCCCUAUUCAAUAAAAUAAUUUAAUUAAUUAAAAAUAACAAAUAAAAAUAACUAACAAUUAAAUAAUUAAGGGUAAAAUAUGUAUAUAAAUUAUGCUCAUCAUCUUUCCAUUAAUUUUGAUCACAAAUGUUUAUCCUAUUUUGUAAGACGACUUGCCAUGGACUUUAAUUGUAGUUGGAAGGGGAGUGGCUAUCAAUACAAAGAUUAUUUUGAUAAAAUUGCAAACGUUUUGUUUGGGUAAUUUUAAAAUCGUAAAAUGCCUUUUAAGACUUUUGCCUUAAGCAACGGGGAAAACUCUUCCCUACUUGAUCAAGCAUCGACUCAUACACCUCUCAAUUGCUAGUCUGGAUUCUAUAUAAUUUUGGCUCGUGUGGAAAAAUCUACUCGUGGAUUCCUCCUAAUAGCUCCAAUGAUUUUUCCUGAAAUUAAAACCAUAAUCUUUAGCCUUUAACCAUUUAGACUUUGGGCACGGACGAACGUUGUGUUAUGUAGUUCAUAGUCGAAGUGAAAACGGUCUAUAUUUUAGCCAAUAUUCGGUACAUAAAAACAUACUUUGAAAGUUAAUUAAUCUAACGGAACUCAUUUUUUAGGGGGAAAGGAAUCAAUUUACAGGCAUAUACAUAAAAACAUACUUUGAAAGUUAAUUAAUCUAACAGAACUCAUUUUUUAAGGGGAAAGGAAUCAAUUUACAGGCAUAUACCUUCAAAAAUUAGAUUACUUAAUUAGUUGAACUUACCUACCUCUGCAAAUAGAUUUAAUGUCAACGUAGUCAAUCCCAAAAAGUCUACACAAGUUCAGUGUACAAAAAUGGUGCAAAUCACGGGAAGCUUAUCCGUCUUAUCAACGCUUGAAAACGUGCUGAGAAUUUGUUAGAUUGAACACCGUGUGGACUGACUCCAUCAGUUGCCCCACAAAAGUUAAUGCAGUCCACAAUAGUUGUACGCCACAGCAUUAUAAUUUUUCUAUUGCCUUUUAAAUUGGCUAGUUGCUAAUGAGAACUCAAAAAUGACAUACGUAAUUUUAUGAACCACCAAUAAUAAUGGAGGCUCUUAUGUUGAGUUUUAUUACAGUCUCUGAAUUCUAACUUCUUUUUCUUUUUUUUUUUAAAGUCAUGUACGCUGGUGGCGUAUGUAUUAUACAAUCUGGGUAUAUCUAUUGGGAGUCUGAUUCAUACAUAUGAAACAUUUAGUGACAGAAUAAAUUUGAAUUAGACUGGGACCACACCAUUUUAUCCUGAGGCCACACUCUUAUAAGGUAAAAUCAAUCAUUUUUAUAUCAAGAAGUGACAUAAAAUUUGUUUCCCAACUUUUUAAAUAUAUUAUUUAUUUAAGGAGAACUUUACGUGAAGUGAUUUAAUUUGCAUAAAAAUGAGCUAACUUACUGCUUUUUUUUUUUUUUUGCCAUAAUUUAUAAGUAAUAACGUCUGCACUAAUGAAAAGUUUCAAUCAGAUAUAGUUAUAUCCAUUCAUGACUGUUAAGUCCUUUUGAUGGAAACCAAAUGUUGACGGAAAAAAAUAAAUAAAUAAAACAUCAUCCUGCUGUUUAUUUGAUGGAAACCAAAUGUUUGAAGUAGCUUGAUUUACAAGAACCCGCUUCGCGAGUCCAUGUUUUGUCUAGGAAUCCUCAGUAGCAUAGGCGGUGCCACGUUAGGACUAGAGCCCCCUAACUUUUUAAAAUUACAAAUUUAAUUUAAUAUUUGUUUCAUUUAUCAUAAAAGUUCCUAUUAAAAUUUUAAAAAAAUAAAAAUAUUAAGUAUUUAUCUUUAACUUCCAACCCACAAAGAUAUUAUUAUUUUGAGAUUUGUUGCACGCUAACUCUCCUCACACAAAAAAACAGAAAUUAUUUUAUCUUAUUGCGUUUAUCAAAAUU
rnacentral:lncRNA from 1 species